rnacentral:rRNA from 1 species
UACAGAGGUCUCAAGCGUUGUUCGGAUUCAUUGGGCGUAAAGGGUGCGUAGGUGGCGUCGUAAGUCAGGUGUGAAAUUUCGGAGCUUAACUCCGAAACUGCAUUUGAUACUGCGGUGCUUUGAGGACUGGAGAGGAGACUGGAAUUUACGGUGUAGCAGUGAAAUGCGUAGAGAUCGUAAGGAAGACCAGGUGGCGAAGGCGGGUCUCUGG